GAUGUAGAUUUCCACCAUGGCCAAUUUUAAACCACCAACUUGACAUCAUUGAACACAGAAUUGGGAAGAGAUGCACAUAACUGCUUCUUGCAAGUUGGUACAAGUUGGCUCCAGCAUACCACCGCAUUCCUGAAUGCAUUCCUCAAUAAAACUCCAGUAUGAAAAUAUCUGUCUCAGAGACUGUUUCUGGAAAAACCUGUCCAAAGCAUCCAGCCAUUUCUCAUUAUGCAUAUAAUCUGGUAGAAUAUAUAGAAAUCCAAAACAUCUCUGGGUCCAAGCGACCAUACUGUAGAAUCUAGUCAUAAGGAGCUCUCUACGAGUCAGGAAUAUUCACUUCUAUACCCGUUUCUGGUGGAGUGACGAGCAGCAGUCCUGAAAGAAGCUGCUGUGGCAUUGACGCUAUGGGUUGUGUGGAGAAACAUGCCAGGCAUGGCAGAUAUCUUAGCAAAGUAGUAGGUGAUGAGUCUGAAGCAAGGGGUGGCCUGAGCCAGCAAUGGGCGUUGGGGCUACCCAACUACCUAUAUUCAAAGAUGGUCAAUGUUACAGGCAACAGCAUGAGACACCGGCUAGAAAAAUUCAGUGCUGAGGUCUCCAGACUUUGCGUUCCACUGUGAUAAUAGUAACUGUAUUCCAGGUUUUGUGCUGUAUCUUUUAGAUACGUAUAAACAUAUACCAUAAUAUAUUUAAUACAUAUGCUAUGAUGCAUCUACACUGAAAGGUAGGUGGAAUCAUUCCCAUUUUAUAGAGGUAGAACUGAAGACUGAGGGAAGUUAAGUGACUUGAAUAAGGACAUUCAUUAAAUAUAUGCCAGUAAGAGCCCAAGUUGGAAUUUUAUUAUAAAUCUAUCUGGUUCUACUUGACAUCUUCUCCCAUUUUUUUCUCCUCUCAAUGUUUACAGGUGCAACAUGGACCUAAGAACUGUGAAAACAAAAACAUACAUUGAGAAGAAUAAUACCAUUUCUGUUGAUGUAGGAACUGAUGGUCUCUGCUUUGCUUUUUUGUAGUCUGGAGAAGCUCCCUGAAGAGAAUAGGACUGUUACGGUGGCCGUACAUUGCAGAAAGCACAGAGGGGGAAAGAUCAACAGCACCCUGGGCUCUGGACCAACCACUUUCAAAGGUUUACAGCAGCCAUGCAGAGCCAUGACGAGCAAUGUAAAGCCAUGCAGAUGCAGGGUGUCUGUGCAAUGGCCAUGCACGCUUAUCAAACGUACCUGAGUACCUGGAUGCGAGCCUGUCACUCAGGUAAAAUGGCACAUAGGAAACGGAAUAUUAAUCUAGUGUUUAUUCACAUGUGAAGAUUUUAUUCUAGGAAAUGCACAUGAAACAUAAUAUGGACUGUUACCUUCAAAAGGUGAACUUGUAAUUAUAAACUCUACUUUAAAAUCUCACAUCAUAGUUUGCUCAUCCUAAGAAUUUCUGCCCCUAAAAAUUUUCAAAUUUAAAUUGAGGACUGUGACCUCAUACAUAUGACCUCAUAAGUCACUGCUGUGACAAUAACUGAUUUUAGGUUAUAAACACAUCCAGAUUGUGUUUAGAAGAUCCUUCUUGUUGACAAGGCAAUGCAUUCUAUCACUUAGUUCCCCGAAUAAGAUAAUUUUUCAAAUAUUUAUUUCGUGGUAUUACAUGACAUAGAAGCGACAUGUACGAAAGUCUCCUCUUUACUCCUGCUUCUUCCCCUCCUCCUUUUUCCCUCUAUUUUCUUCCCAGAGAAGUUAGAUGAUAGAAAUAAAUGGGAGACUACCAGGUUGAAAUAUACA
rnacentral:lncRNA from 1 species